UUUUUUUUUUUUUUUUUAUAUAAUUUACAUGGACCAAUAAAGAUAUGGAUAUGUUCAUUGUCCCUUGAUCUGCUGCCUCAUUUUGUUCAAACUUAAAACAGAAAGAGAGUGAGACUGACAAAAGGCCAAGCUAAAGUCAUUCUAACUAUUUACCUUUUACGAGUAGAGUUGUGAGCAUUACCACCGAUUGAGGGUGAUAAGUAAAAAUACACUCACAAAUAAAUUGUAAUGUAUGGCUUGAAAUUCCCCCAUAUAUUGGUGGGGAGUACAUAGGAAUAGGAAAGUAGUAACAUUUCUGCCAGAUUUCAUGGUAUCAUGAUUCCUCCUCAUUCCUUGCACUUCAAUUAUUCAAUAUUUCCCAUCAUUUAGUUAGUAAGAAAAAAAGAGUAAAGAAAGAUGAAUAUGAUUAUAGUACUCAAGAAAGCUUCAUUAGCAGAUUGAUGGUCAAUAGUCUACCUAUGCUUUUAAAAUUGGGAUGCUAUGCUCAAUCUGUGUAUGGUAAACAAUUUCUACACCAUUUUUUCUCUCCCUUUAUGUACACAUAUGUUUAACAUUUUUCUUUGAUUUUCUUUGGUUUUAUUUGAGGAGCAACUGCUUUGUUGAUUCUUUGUGACCGACAGGUCACCGGUUCGAGUUGUGUAAACAACCUUUUUGCAAAGUAAGGGCAAGACUCCCUCUCCAAUCCUCGCAAAGUGGAAAACCUUGUUGGCUUGUUUCUCGUGUAUAAAAAUGGUCUGAUGAACAGUGGUUCUAACUUCCGGAGGGAACCAGCACCAGCCAUUGUGGUAAAUCAGACAAAUAGGCCCCAAAACCUAGAGGACCAUCACUCAUCAGAUGUCAAACUUGAGUUCCCCUAGCAAUGGAACGUAUGACAUGUCCUUCCCUUUAGGGAUAAUGCUUGCAUCACUGUGUGAAUGCAAAUAUCUCAUCCUUUACAAAUAAGGUAUUUUUACAGUAUACAUUUCAUAUUGGAGCUAUUUAAUUUCUUAAUAUACAUUUGAAGAUUAUGCCUACAAAAAUCAUUCGAAUCAUUUAAAGGCGCUGGUGUGGAAAAUACAUUUUCUUGUAGUGGAAAGCUAUUCAAAACCAGGCAGCACUUCAAAGUUUAUCAGUCGCUUCUGGACUUCUGGGCUGUGCACUCUUCAAUACUAAUAUUACAAACAGAAGUGGAAAUGAGCUUCUUCAAAACUAUUGUUGGGUCUUGCUCCAGUUUUCAUUAGAUUUUUACCAAAACAUAUGAACACCGUACUAUUUUUGGUCGCGGCAGAGAUACAUAUAACUAAAUUACAUGAAUAUAUAUACCAUAUAGGCUAGUAAUUUGAUAUAUUUGAAAUCUAGCUUAAAUCCAACCCUAAGAGAAUGCUAAAGCUAUUAAUUCUUAUUCUACAUACACACACACACACAUAUAUAUAUAUGACUGCAUAGUGCAUAUAUAUAGCAACUGCAAAGACAUAUAUAAUUGAGACUAGAUCUUUUCAUUACACAUACAUACUACAUUAAAUCUUACAAGAGAAUGAAAUAUGAGAGCAUGACAGCAUCAUCAUAUAUAGAAUAUAUUCUGCAUAAACUCAAAACGAAAAAACCUAAAAAACUAGAAAUCAAAAGGAAAAAAGAAAAGAAAGAAAUAAAAUAUGGUGAUUGAUCGGACCAGGAGAGCUUCAUUCCCCCGUUACUGGAUGCUAUAUAACCAUUAUAUCACUCAUGGCUUGGAGAGACCCCAAGGCUCUUUAAAUGACAGUUCCAAGAAACACCCAUCUCUUGAAAUUGAGGGAGAUAUUAACCCUAAUUUGGUUUCAGUACUGCACUGGAGCACCAAAUAUUUCGGAAACAGUUCCAACAUCGUGAUCAUGGAGAGAGAAGAUGUACAGUCGAGUGAGAGUAAGAAAGAAGGCAGCAGAGUUAGAGAAACUCAUAGAAUAUAUUCACAUGGUACACACACAUAUAUAUAUAUAGAUGGAUAUAUAAAUAGCUAUAUCUAGAAUGUUAUAUAUAUAGAGCUUUAUAUCAGGGAGAGAGAGAGAGAGAGGUGAAAUAUUGUGAAGCACGCAUAGUGUGGACUGUGGAAGUGUGGAGACCUAAUCUUAUAUUCCCGCAUGCAGGUUUCUUCCCUUUAAGAACAGUGCUAUAGGGCACGUUUCCACAGGGAAAAGGAACACCCAACAAACAAAAAAGGGGACGACACACUCACACAGUGAUCACUGUGGACUGUGGAGGCAAAUGUGUGUGUUUAAUUUUUAUGGUGGUUACAUUUUUUGUGAAGGCAAAGCAAAGUCGCAAACUUAAAGCAUGAUAUAUUGGUGCCCGAAAGGUGGGGCUAGCUAGCUCCCUAACCUUUGAAAAAGGGUCUUUAUCUAUGUAUAGGUGUUUGAAUUUUUGGCUCUCUCCCCCUUUUAUCUUUUGGUCGGUUCAUAUCGAAAAGGGUUAUAAUUUUCUUUUUGUGUUGCCUUUCAUAUGCUUUUGUUGUUUGAUUUAGGUUUACUUUAUUUUCAACAUCUUAUGAGAUUAAGUUAAAUAUCAGAAAUUUAGCGUAGUUGGUGAAGUUGGUUUGACCAUCAAAACUUCGUUAACACACAUUUAGAAAGACUAAUUAUGUCUUAUCAUGUGCAAAUUGGUUGUUAACAUUCUUCUUCCCCAACCUGCAUUUCAGUAUAAGAAUUAUUGUAUAGUGGGGUUAACUGCAUUGUUAAGUGUAAAUAUAUCAUCAUCUUAUGAUAUUGAUAGAUGUAACGAUUUUACCGUUGAUAAGAUUGUGCCGAACUUGGUGGCAUACGUAAACUUGUAAGUUGUAACUAAGUAGGUCAUUAAAGUGCUUUUUGGGUGAUAAAACCUAAGCCAAAUGAGAUAUGUUGUAAGAAAUCUGUUUGAAAUCUCUUCGAUUCCAGAUUAACAAAAUACAUUCUAAGUUUCUAACAGUCAGCCACCAAUUAAUUCUGAGCCACAAAACCCUUGUUUCCGUUCGUCAGAUCAAAUUGGUUUCUGCAUGAAAGUGUUCACUUUGAUUUUAGCUAUAACAUAUCCAAAAAUCAGAACAUCCAACUCAUGUCCAGCUCCAGGCGUCGAUCUGGGCAGAGGCUGUGCGCGGGUUACUCGGAUCUUAUCGUUUCAGGGUGUGAGUGAAGAAUGAAGAUGCAAAGGAAGACAACAUAGAAUCCAUGAAAAAUUUAGUCAAACCAUGAAGCGGUAAGUUUAGGAUUAAAAUUUACAGAUUUUACUUUCAUAUUUCAUGUCGGAAGUUGAUGAGUAACUAGUUCGUGAUGAGUAAAGGGGUUCAUGCAAUUGAAAGAUUCCAUGUGUCAUGCUAAAUAUUUGGUUGUCUUCACAUUGCAUCUUUGAUAUAAUACACACACACACACACACACAUGAAAAAUUAUAGAUAUUGCUUUAAACAUGUUCGCAUGUAAAAAUUAAAUUAAGAACCAAAAUUUCAUUUUUUUCCUCAAUGAAAUGAGAGAAACUCCGAUUGACUUGAUCCCUUUAUCGAGUAAAUAGGCAAUCUAACUCGAACAGUUGAUGCAACCAAUCUUAAGCUUAGUCAUGUCUUGGGGUUUGUUUUAGGAGUGUGACAUGUGAGGUCAUCUUAAGCAUGUCCUAAGCUAUUUUGGUUAGUAGGACAUCCCAUCCUCUAUGAGUGAGUAGCAAACAAACAAACAGUUGAUAAAAAAGGUGAGUUAUCCUCACGCAUCUUUUUUACUUCGUACACACCAUCUUAAUUUGUAGUCAUCAGAUUGAUUGAAUUAAAGAAUAUCAAAUAAUAGAAAUUAAUUAGAAGUGUGCGAAAAGUAAAAAAAUUGUGUGUGGAUAACACACUAUAUAUGCAUAUACAAGCCUUUCUUAACAGUGAUUAUGCUCCAUUGUUCAUGGACCACUAAUAGUCAGUAUGGUCACUGUAUAUAUUGGUGCUCUGUUAUCCCACUCCGUGAACAAUGAAACGGGAUCCUGUUAAAAAGCUAGUAGUGUGUGUGUGUAUAUAUAUAUAAAUAUGGGAGGUUCAAUAUUUUCUUAUGUGAAACUCCCUUUGUUAGUUAGUGUGUUUAUAUUUGUCUUGACAAUCGCUUGAAACACACCCCUCUAAAGAUAAGAACAACCAUUUUGUAAGUUUGCUAUUGAAAAACGAAUAAAAGGACCACCGUUGUUAUGUUGCGUAAGUUCUCUCCUCGACCCUUUCCGCAGUUCCACCAUCCUCUUUUCUCCUAUAAAACCCCGCCACGUGCAUUCAGAUUCUGCACAACUUCCCUCACGCCCGUUGAUUAAAAAGGGCGAGUUCCCGGUUCACUUUAUAUCCGACACCGACUUGGCGUGAAAGAAAAUCAAGGUGCGGCCCAGGUGAAGAAAUUUUUCAUUGUGACAAAAUAACAAGGGAUACAUCCCGUAUUUUUAUAUAAAUGAUGGAAAAUUUAAUUUUUUAACAUACAUAUCUCACUAUUUGUAUAGUGACACGUGGUAUAUUAUCCCGUGUUCUGGUCACAAUGAAAAAUUUCUCGCCUAGGUGACCAUCCCUACAGCAUUGGCGGGUCCCUGCUUGUGAAGGUCUUAUAUAAAAGUGAGAAAUUUACACAAAUGGAACGCAAACUUUUCAAUUUCUAUGUUUACCUCUGAAACUAGAAAAGGUUACAAUUGACCACUUUUACUUAAUACGUUUUGACAAUAUCUCACUCGCGUCCAAUUCUAUGCCAAAAUUAACUUGUGUCCAAUUCAACCCACUAUUUCGUUACGUAUAAUCAUGCGACAUGUAUGAUUCAAUUGUUUGAAGUCGAUUUUGGUUAAGGAAGAUAACGUAUAUCUGAUUGGUCCUCAAUUCUACGGGAUAAGUGCAAAAUGAAUGUAGAUGGUAUGUUGUCAAAAUAACUGAAUAAGGAAAUUGACCUUCAAAGUUGGUUUGUGCAAGUAACGUCCUCGAAUUUUACAGGAUGAGUGCACAUGAAUGUGAGUGGUAUAUUGUCAAAGUAACUGAAGUCUGGUCAUUGCAUAAGAGCAACUCCAGCGUUGCUGGUUGCUCGGGGGACAGGCGAAGAGAAAGGGCCCGACGGGCGGGGGAUGGGGCUCCAGCGUAUGCGAGCUCGAGGGACAGGCCUGGCAGGGAUUGCCAGCCCAAGAGCCUGAGGUCUGUGUGAUGUAUGGCUGAUGAGCAGCAUCGAUGCAUGCGCUCAGUGUUCUUUGCAUCCUCCUUCCUCCUCGUCCUCCUUCCCCUCCAGCUUUGACAAGGAUAAUAACGGAUCUGGGUCGUUCGAUGGAGAGCACAAAAUCGCGAGGGUUGUAGACGGAGAUCGGAAACCCUUUCUCGACGAUGUUGAGGGCGAGAUUUUGCCCCAUGACGGCGAGGCCUGCCAAGCCUAUGUGUGACAGAGUUGGUGAAGCUUCCAUGGCUGCUGCUGAGAGAGAGAGAGAGAGAGAGAGAGAGAGGACUGGUCAAAAUUAGGGAAAAAUAAUAAUAUUUUAUGGAUUGGUUGAGAAAAAAAUAUUAAUAUUUUAUUACCAAUUGCCAGGGGGAGGGUUCCAAGGGUGAAGAUGCAAAUGACAAUUACUGUUUAUUAAGAGCAGUUACUGUUCACUAGGUGGAUUGAAUAGUGGAUUGAAUAGUGGAUUGCCAUGGGAGAGGGCUCCAAGGGUGGAGUUGCUUUAAAAGUGGAAAAGUAUGUUCCAGUUUUGCAAUUUUCUCAUAAAAGUACCAUGGUUCCUAUUUGGGUUGUGAAAAGCCCAUGGAUUCCCAUUUGGGCCCAUCAACAUAUGACCCAAGAGAAAAUAAUCUACAAGUCCACAUUUGACCCAAUUAUAUUCGGGUUGACCCGAAAAAUGCUUAAACCCUGGAAAUCCCCUGUCAAUGUCUCUGUAGGUGGUCUCAGUGAGAAGUUUGGCAGCCAUGAAUCGAGCAAUGGCGGCGUUUCUCAGUACCCGCCGAUUCGCCAACUCGCUGGCGGCGGCUCAGUUCGACGUCAUAACUCGGCCGCUUUAUUCUCAGGAGACUCAUUCCUCUCACCUCUCUCACUUCCUUUCAAAUCAAUCCCACUGUCAUUCCCAUUUCCUCAACACCCAUCAAAAGCUCUUCUUUUCCUCGACCCCCAACUCGGUCCUGCAACUCGUUCUGGCCAACAAGUGGUCUUCCGAGUUGGAGACCGAGUUAUCCGAGUCGUACCCAUCACUCACCCACGAUGUAGUAAUCUAUGUUUUGAAGAAAUUGGAUAAAGAUCCACGAAGGGCUUGGGAUUUUUUCAAUUGGGUCUGCGAGAAGAACGGAUUUAGGCCGAGUUCUUCGGUGUUUAGCUUAAUCCUUAGGGUUUUAGUGCAUAAGAGUUCGAUGAUGGAGUUUUGGAUUGCUUUGAGGAAGAUGAAAGAGCAAGGGUUUUUCAUUGAUGAGCAAACUUAUGUGGCAAUUAGAGAACAGUUGAAAACGGGGAGGAUGGAUAGUGAUGUCGUGGCUUUCAAGCAUUUUUACGAGAGGAUGAUCGAAGAUAACGCGGCGGAUGAUGUUGUGAAGAGCGUGGUGGAUGUUGUUUCGGGGUCGGAUUGGAGUGAUGGGGUUGAAAAAGAAUUGGGGGAGCUCAAAAUUGUGUUAUCUGAUAAUUUUGUCAUUAGGGUUUUGAGGGAUCUGAGGAAUUACCCGUUGAAAGCGUUGAGGUUUUUCCGUUGGGCUGGUCAGUGUUCUGGUUAUGAACACAAUACAAUUACAUACAAUGCAGUUGCGAGGGUUCUUGCGCGGGCUGAUUCGAUAGGGGAGUUUUGGAGUGUGAUUGAGGGGAUGAAGGGCGCGGGUCAUGAGCUGGAUUUGGACACCUAUAUAAAGAUUACGCGGCAGUUUCAGAAGAGCAGGAUGAUCGAGGACGCGGUGAAGCUGUAUGAGCUCAUGAUGGACGGCCCUUAUAAACCCUCUGCUCAGGAUUGCAGCAUGCUUUUAAGGAGCAUCUCAGGGAGUGAUAAACCGGAUCUGGAUAUGGUGUUUAGAGUUGCAAAGAAGUUCGAGUCUGCAGGGAAUACACUAUCCAAGGCUGUUUACGAUGGGAUUCACAGGUCUUUGACAGGCGCAGGCAGAUUUGAUCAAGCGGAGGAAGUUAUGAAGGCUAUGAGAAAUGCAGGGUACGAGCCGGACAACAUUACAUACAGCCAAUUGGUCUUUGGACUUUGUAAGGCCAAGAGACUUGAAGAAGCCUGCAAUGUGUUGGACGAAAUGGAAGCAGAUGGAUGCGUUCCUGAUAUCAAGACUUGGACCAUUUUGAUUCAAGGGCAUUGCGCCGCUGAUGAAGUUGACACAGCGCUGAUUUGUUUUGCAAAGAUGAUGGAAAAAGGUUGUGAUGCGGAUGCUGAUCUGAUGGACGUCUUGAUAGAGGGGUUCCUUAAGCAGAGGAAGAUAGAUGGUGCAUAUAAACUGCUUGACGAAAUGGUGAAAAAAGCUCGUUUGGUACCAUGGCAAGCCACAUACAAAAAUCUUAUCGAAAAAUUGUUGGAGGUCAGAAAACUCGAAGAAGCAUUCAAACUUCUUCAAUUGAUGAAGAAACAGAACUACCCACCUUACUCAGAACCGUUUGUCCAGUAUAUAUCGAAGUUUGGUUCUGUGGAGGAUGCUGCAGACUUUUUCAAAGCAUUGACUGUUAAGGAACAUCCGUCAUCUGCCGCGUAUGUCCAUGUUUUGAAAGCAUUCUUUAAGGAAGGUAGAUACUCCGAGGCGAAAGAUCUGCUUCAUAAAUGCCCUCAUCAUAUCCGAAAGCAUGGUGAAAUUUGCAAACUUUUUGGUUCUACGGCAGGCAAAGAAGCAGACUACUACAGAAGAUGAAGGCAAGCGUAAGCAGACUACUAACGAAGAUAAGCAGAAGCGGACUACUACUUGUACGUUGAUAGUUUCUUGUAGUAAUAUCAUGGCUCAACCCCAUGAAUUUUGUAACCUCUACCCAUGAAUUAACUACAUGUUUUGCACCAAGAAAUCGAACCAUGCCUGUUUUUGAAUGAUUUGUUCUUUGGUACAGAUACUUGUAUGACAUCUUCAUCACAAAGGGAAGCUACUAAUGCUUUAAAAUGAAUUAUAUUUUGCGCCAUCGUUUUUUGGUACAAAUACAUUGUUCACAAGAUGUGAAAACUAUUCAUUCAGUCAGGUAGCUCAGAACGCUCCCUCCUAGCCGUAUCCGUCAUUGUACUCAAGAACUUGCUAGGGUCACAACCGUAAGGAUUUGCGAGAGCCGCAUGUGCUAGGAACGGAAGCUUUCUUAAUGAUCGCCCGCUCAAUCCCUAAAGAAACCAGAGACAAAAUCAACUAUCAGAUAGACUGAAAGGGGCCUAACUUACAACUUUAGAAGGCAAGGAAUUGAAGAAUCCGUUGCUGACCUCGCAUGCUUCUGCAGUUUCGAACAAUUGUUUACACAGGUGUAGUGGUGUCUGGGCAUCUUGUACCUCAGGCAUAUUCAGUUUCUCUUUCAAGCUAGCAAAGUUAGGAAGCAUGCUUUCACAAUCCUACAAUUUACAAAGUUCAUUACGAAUGGCUUGGAACUUUCCCACAUACUCGGGGGAGAAUUUUAAUAUGUUAAAAACUUUAAUUACAGUAUCAGAACCGAACAAGGUUAGCCAGACAAAUGCACCUCUAGAUGUGAUAAGAUUCCUGUUCGUAUAAGUUCAUGCAAGCAGGAUCUUAGGAUUUCAUAACGCGCUUGCAAAGUUGGGGGACCAACAUAUGCUUUGAUAUCAGCUCGAUCAACAAACGCAAUAUCUGCAACCCAAGAAAUGGUAAAUCCAUACAUACUAGGAUGGUGAAAUUUAAUUUUUUCCCUUCCACAGAGAAAAUAAAGUAUUGGUCUUUCUCUAGCUUGUCAGAACCACAGAGACCUCGUGACUGACAAGAGAGACUGAUAGAAAGAGAACCAAAAAGAGACUAAACUCUUUCAUACAAGGGAAAAGUACAUUAACUCUUGGCAAACUACAGCUUACCUCUCCAAUCUACAGAUGAAAAAUUGCAAGCAAACGUAGAGAAGUUCAUUUUACAUGUUAAGAAAUUAAUUUGUAGCCUUACCAAUAGCAGCAGUUAUGUUCGAUGUUGUCAGAAUUAUAACAUUUGGUGCUGAUUUCAAUUUAUCCAGCUGAGUUAGCAGCGCAUUCACUACCUGGCAUGUCAACGUUUAGCUGUUAAUUGAACUAAAACUGAGCUAUACUGAACUGUAUCGAAAAUGUUAAAUGUAAAUUAUCUGCAUUAUUCAACCAAAAGGCUUAGAAAGUAGUCUGGAAUAGGAUAAAGGAGAAAGUAUGGUACCCGAAUAGAAUCUGAAGGUUCGGAGCCAGAUAAAGCAGCUUUUCUAGCAGCAGCAAGGCUUUCAACUUCAUCUGCAACAUCAGCAUAUAUUCAUGAAUUAUAAUCCAAAUGGAAGAUAUAUUAUCAUAAAAUGAAAACUCACAAUGAAAAUAAUCUCACCAAUCAAAACAAAUACCAGAUUGUUUUCCUCCUCAACCAUCUCCUGAAUUUUUGAGAAAAGCUUCGCAACCUACGAUUGAGAAAUACUUUUAAUGAAAACAGAGAACUGCAUGUGCCAAAUCCAACUCCUGUUUACAAAGAGCAAAAGCAUCUUUUAGGACUUGCAGUAUCAAUGACAUACCAACUUGCCACUCUCAGAGAACCAUUUACUGAAUAAAGAAUGUGCAUUAACUUCAAUCAGCUGGCAUUGCGGGUACCUGCAAAGAAUAAAAUACUGAAUCUGGGAAUCUACACGGACGCACAUCCAUUUUAGUGAUGCAUAUUCAUCUGAACAAGACAAUACAUCAACAAACCUGGAGUUAAAUCGAAUAGAAAGUUUUUGAGCCAGUGCUUUGCACAAAGAAGUUUUACCAGUCCCUGGAGGUCCGUGUAAAAGAACAAUGCUGCAAAGAGAUAAAAACAAUCAUAUAGGUGCCAAAAAGCAAUUCUUCAGCAAUAAAAGAAAUAACAAGCAUAUGUGUAUAACUGUACAUAGAUGAAAUCAACAAACAAUUCCUUACCGAUUCCAUGACACAAGGAAAGGAUUGACACCCUUUUCAGUAAAAAGCAAUGCACUAGCCGCAUAACGCAGCAACCUUUGCUUGAGACCAGAUUCAUAAAUUAGGCUGCAAAAGUAGAUGAGCACUGAGCACGUUACAUUAUCAGUUGAUUUCAAACUACAAAGGAGAAGAAAAUUAGAGAAGUUGCAAACUAACCUUUCCCACAUGCCAUCGAAUUCCUUUGCAGGAAGGAUCCAUUCGUUGAAGGUGGAAGGUUGUCCAUCCCCACUUACAUCCUCACAUGCUCCCUCUUCGCUAAGCUAACGAGCACAUACAAGCAAGAAAUCAACACUUGAAUAGAUAUCGAGUCCCAAAGUAGUCCAGAUGGUACGCCUAUUACCUGGAAAACAUGCACAACAGGCUUCACUUGCCAGAACAAAAGGAUCUCACGGUUCUGCACCCACUCAUCUACAAAAACAAACAGUUCAAGCAUCAGAACCGGCAAAUAUCUUAAGACUGCAUCCUCCUCCUCCUUUUUGUAGUACGUAAAGUAUUACAAAUUUUGUGCUGUCAGAUUUCCGUUUUAUCAGAUGAAAAGUUGCAGUAUUGAUUAUAGCUGACCAUCAAGUUUCAAAAUUUCUUCACUUUGCCUUUAAAAAAAAUAACCCGUGACUAGUUCAAAGAUAAAAAAGAAUACCCGUAUCGCAAAUACAGAUACUUUGCACAUUUUCUGUUAGAAACCGAUCAUCAAGUGGCACCGGCACGGGUCCAUCAGAAUAGCUCAAACUCCUCUUUUCAAGCAUUCUAAGCAUUUGACAAAAGAAGAAGAAGAAAAAGAAACCAAAAGCACAUUAUGUUAAUCCUCAGCACUGAUUGCCCAACUUUUCCAAACCGUUAAGCUAAGCAGGCAUUUCAUCAAACACAUAAGACCCAAUUGAGAAACAACUGAAAAAUCAAAAUUGAUGAUUCUAAUUAACGAAUUUAACAGCACACCUCUCAACGGCAGACUGCACGUCGUUGGCCCGAGCUGUGCUGGAGGGCUUGAGGCUGACUUCAACUGAAACCCACAAUCAAUUUCUCUUAAAGAAAGUAAAUUUACAACUAAAUCAUCAACACAGCCUCAAAUUGGAACAAAUUGGCUCAAAAACUAAGAGCAACAACUAAUUGAAGGCAAAAACGACGCCGUAAGCACCUGAAACCGGGACUUUGUCUUGGAGAAGAAUGGGAGAAGGAGCUGAGUCUAUUGUGACGCUGCCGUUUUGGUCGGCGAUGCCGGCGUCUUGGGGGUUUUGCAUAGAGACCUCCAUGGGACUGGGAGCGCUCAUUUUUUUGGGGUUUAGGGUUUAGGGGGGCUAUGAAGUGGAAAGCAUCAGAUAGCUGAGAGCAGCUUGGAGAAUGGAGGAGAUGAGUGAAACCCUAGACCCCAACAGAAAUCUGGGAAAUUGUUCUUCGAAAUAAGCGGGAAAAUUUGAAGGAUUAUACUUCUGUGAUUUUGAAAUAAGGCACGUUGUUUUAAUUUUCUCAUAUUGCUCUUUACCGUUUUGAAUUGUUUGAAUUUCACUAAAUUAAUGAUAUAGUGAGCAUAAAAUUCGUAACAGGAUUGAUAUAUAAGCCACAUUUACAUCAUAUUCAUCAUUAAAAAACUCAUCACUUCAAUUAGAAAUUCAAAUCUAUCAAAAGUGAAAAUUGAUAAAAUUUUAAGAACUUAGGAGAUAAUAUGAGAAAAUUGAAAUCUCAUGACCUGUUUUAAAUCACUUCAAACUUUGAGGAUGCAAAAUGUAGUUAGUCUAUAUAUUUUUUUCUUCGCUCAACAAAUGUGAAUGAUUGUUCCCUUUAGGAAUAAGUUAUAUGUUUUUUUUUAAAAAAAAGGUAAAAUAUGCUUUUGUUUACAUGCGGAAAAUCUACAAUAAAAUAAAAUGAGUUGAGAUUUGAAGAACAUAUUGUACAUCUUCAUCACAUUUAUCUGCUCCAUAGAUAUACCAAUGCACUUAAAUCACGAGAUAUUGUAGCCACACUCGUUGUGAUAUGAAUGACAUAUUUCGACAAUUAACUUUAAUUUGCUACAUUUUAUCAUCCAAAGAAUACAUUUGUGCUAAAAGAAUCAAAUGUCCUCACUUCCGUAAUAAUUUAUGUAAAAAAAAAAAAAUUAAAUGUGUGUGAAGAAAAUUGAGAUUUCAUCAUAAAAUCAAUUGGUAAUAUAGAAAGUAACUCAAUUACUUAUAAGCACAUGCAAAGAUUUUUUUUUUCUUUUUCCAGGAUGUGAGAUUAAUAUUCUCAACAAUGUGUCACAUGCCCUCAAUUUUAGAGUACUUUUGUCAAGUAAUGUCUCUCUUGAUGUCUAUAACAAAAAUAAGACUUUUAAGUAAGGGUGCGACUCAGAGAGGUUGACGCAGAUUUGCCAGUCACCGCAACCCCAACUUUACCUUCACAAUUUUGAGAUUGGGUUUCAAUCGGGUUAGGUUAGGCUCACUUGGGUUGGGCUAGAGUUGCACAAUUUUACUGAGCUCAAUCAUGUAACAUCUUGUUUGCAAGAUUUUUUCAGAAAUUUGAGCCGAAUAACGCGAAUACUAGUUAAAAUUUGAACUCGAAAUUAUGCCAAAAGUUUGAUUCACGCUAUUCACUUAAAAAGUACUUACUUCUAUGACAACAUCAAUGAGGCAGCCCAGCCCAUUUUUCAUGCCCAUUUCCCGAUCUGUAUGUGUUCACCUCACAAGCUUGUGAAAGACAAAAUUCUUACGCCCACAAAAAAGGAUAGGGUUGCCUAAACUUAUCUCUGUUUGACUACCAAUUUGUGAGGCUCUAAGUUGCUCAAAGAUAACAUGCAUGGCCCAUACAAGACUUUGUUAGAGCAAAAAACAACUCACCAUGAAGCAAAAGUUACAGCUUAAAGAUGACAGAGAACUUGAAAUCCUCAAGGCUGUGGCACAAGCUUGGUACAGCCACUCCGGCCGCUCUCAGCUCAUGUCCGAAUUUGACACCCGCCCGAGAAAUUACAACGGCAAAUCGCCAUCCCGGUUCAAGCUUGAAGCAAUGAGAAAAUCAUCAUCAGCUGGUGAUACAAAAUGGGAUUUCGGGCAGUCACUAUGGGAUGCUUAUGAGAUUGUGGCCGUUUCGAAAAGGUUAGAGACAGGGCUAGUCCUUGAUGAGUUGGAGAGUGUGGCACGAGUCCGUCAGAGGCGUAGGGAGAGCAAGCACAGCCUUAGAAGUUUAUUCAAUAAAAUAUCUUCAAGAAGAUUGGAUGAGGCUAAUGUUCCCCCAGAUAACGAUCCAUAAUUCGUGGCCUUGUUUAUUUUUUGCAGGUUAACAUAUUUUUUUCUCCGAAUAUCUACGAAUUUUGACACUAGGAUUACAUUAAAAAAAAGGAGAAAGGUCUGAAUUAUAUGUGCGUUGUUUCUUUUUUGUGUGAAGAAAUUGUUAUCUUUCAAUCUUCAUUUGCUUAGUUGGAGAUCAAAAUCUGUGUUAAGCUAAAGUAGUACUGCACAUCGUAACUUUUGGCAAGCGAAAGGUGUAUCGCGGUAUGUUACCAACAAUUGGUUUCGAUUGAUUUCUGCAAUGAUAUAUAAAAGUUCUAUGUUGGAGAACCAAACUAAGUUCUGCAGAUGGCGUAAGACAUGAGGUAGAGCAGGAUUUUACUAGAUGUUUUCGCCCGUCUUGCGGAAAAAAAACCAAGGGUUAGCAUUUAGCAUCAGUUCUUUUACUGUCAAUUCUCAAAACCAUCACAAAGUCUUACACGUUUACUUGCUGCAGGAGUAAAUAUCACACACACCGCUGCUGCUGCAGUCUUGUACCAAUAAGUAAAGAUUAAUAACUGAGACAAAAAAAGAAAAAGAAAAACUAAUAACACGAGAAUAACAAUAAGUAAUAAUAACUUGUUUAGUUAGGAAGUGAAAUACAUUAAACAUGACAGUGGCAUCCUAUUAAGAGCUUAAUUAAGGAAGUUCAUCAGAAUGGAUAAUUGCAGGCACUUUAUUUAUACAAGUCAUGGGUUGCUUAAAGUUUGCCCGCCAAUCAUCCUUGUCAAGAACUCUCCGGCACCUUAGCGUGGUUUGAAGGUCCUCCACUUGAAGAGCUCAAACCCCUUGUGCUUCUGCUCGAUGUAGCCAUCGGCCUCAACAUCAAUAGUUUCCUCAGACACGACACAGUUCCCCUUUUUGUCGCACUCCGUGACUGUCUUAGUCACUUCAACCGUCUUGUGAACUUCCGGCAUGGACUGCUGGUUCUGCUGACGCUGUUCGUAGUACUGACCGCCAUAGCUCUCUCUCCCAGGGGCCUGGUUGCCGAAUAGGACUUGGCCAUGAGGGACAUCAGUGAGGACACUAGGGGUUCUUGCCAUCCUAUGCACAUGGGAGUAAUAGUCGUUCCCAUUUUGGUGCCUGGUUGGGUAGUCGUAGCUUCUCCUCAUUUUUAUUUUUUUUUGGCAAUCACAAAUUCACAAGUACCUUGAACUUGAAGCAUUAGGAGGAUGCAAAAGCUUCAAUUUAUAGGAAAAUUGGUUUGGCCUAUAUUCUAAAAUGAUAAGGGUGGCAUCUAGUUCUGCUGAUGUGGUUCUAAAAAUCUCCACCUAUCACCGCUUGGGCCUUGCCUAAGCGCUAGGUGGUUGGUCAUCGUCCUGAUUAAUGCUUAGACAUUUGAAAAUUAAGAAAUGGCGCCUAGACCUGUUGAGGCACCUACCUAGACCACCUAGAGAUCCGCCUAGGUCACGGCUCACUUAGACAGAAAAUAUAUCACUUUCAUUUUGCAUUUUAUUUUUUCAAUAAAUUGUAAGAAACUUGUUGCAUGCUUAAAUAAACACACAUUAUAUCCUUGUUUCCCAUAUUUUCAUUAUGCUCCAAUACUUCAUAAUAUAUAUAUAUAUAUGUCAUUUUAUUUUGUAGUUUAUGAUGAAAUUAUAUAUAUUUUAAGUAUAAGUAGACACUUAUUUACACAAAAUAUAAUAGAUUUACUUAAAUUCGUCUAGUCUGCCUAGGCUCCGUCUAGCCGCCUAGGCACUAGGCUCCAUCUCGCCGCUCGACUAGCGCCUUCUAGAACCUUGCGUAGAAUAGAUGGUUGAGUGGAUUGAAAAUGAAAUAGACCUAAGGAAGACAAAAGGACACAGUGGAAAUUUACAUAUUUGUUGUCCGAGCUACGUUUUGGGUGCAUUGAAGACGGAAUAGAAUGAAGGAAGACAAAAAGACGCAGCGAAAAUUUACAUAUUUAGCCAUUCAAGAUCGUCUAAACUUCCAAAACAGCAUUUUAAAGUUUGUAAUAAAAUUCAAACUUUCGAUUUUCCAUCCAGUUUAUGUCAUUUCAAUGUCCCUAAGACCCCUGAACUUCCUCAUGGCUGAGUUUAAGUCUAUUUAAGUCUUUGGCUUUGUAAUAUACAUUUAAGAAUCAAUCAAAUAAACCUUUCAGUUUUCUUCCAAACUCUGGUGGAUUUUUCUUCUAGGGUUUACGUUUGUAUCUCUUGUUAUGUCGGGCCCCUUUCUUUGAUUUCAAAAAUUAGAACAUCGUCUUAGUCAAACAAGAAGGUGGUAUCUAGUUUUACUAACGAGAGUAAGACUAGUUUAUUAAGCUAUUAUGCCAGCCUAUUUUAUUUAAGUUUGAAUUCCUCUCUCUACAAAUAUCGUCUUGUUAAAUAAAUAAAAUAACAUCUAGUUCUGUAGAUGUGAGUUAACCUAAUUUACCAAAACAAUACGUCGACCUCUUUACAUUCAAGUUUAAAUAUUUUUCUCAUGUAAAUUAGAAUACUGUCUUGUCAAAUCAAAAGGGUGUAGCAUCCCGUUCCCUUGUCUAUAUCAAACUGUUGAUUCAAGCAUACGAAUCUAACAUAGCUGGAAAAAGGAGGUGAGCCAGAAAUAAGCCUCAUUUGGAGAAAUUUUUAGUUGUGACAGAAACACAAGUAAUACAUCAUGUGUUUUUAUAUAAGUGAUGAAAUUUUUUAUUUUUUAAGCUAUUAACUUUUUAACACACAUAUUCCACAAUUUAUAUAACAACAUGUGAUAUACCAUCUCGUAUGAUAGUCAUAUUGAAAAAUCCUUCCUUCAUUUGCAAGGUUUCAUAUCUCAAAAGGCAUAAUGUCAGUUUCCAUCCUGAUAUUAAAUUAUUCUCACACUUUUCCAGAAGCUCCUGUUCCUAUAUCAUCCAACAACUUGCUACUCACUCUAAAGAAAAGGAUGAAAUAUCCACAAAUACCUUUUUAAUUUUCGACCGUCGGAUUGAAUAAAUUGAAAAAGAUCAACGGAUAUAAAUUAUCAAAGAAUGUGUGAGAAGUAAAAUAAGAUGUGUGGAUAGCAUACCCUUAAAGAAAACUAGCCUUCAUGCACGCGUUUACGUGCGUACAUAAUUUAAUUUUUGGAAUUACAAUGUGCUAUAUGCGAAUUUUUGUUGAACGUGUUGUCUAUAUUUAAUCUAAGAACGUAACAUGCAAAUAGCUCGAAGACAAGGAAGUGUUUACAUAAAAGAAAUUGAGACAUUAAAAAAACACCCCAAUAUUGAACAAAAUGGCAUUAACAACCUUUACUAUCUCUCCCGCCAAACCCAGCACUGUAGUAACUAUCACGUAUGCGAUCCAAUAUUUUAGUAGAUAAGAUGUUGAAUUUCGCUGUAAUAGUUUCAAUCAUAUAAUGUUUAUAAAAUCUAUUUUCGUGACAUUUUCGCUUCAUCCUAAGCUUCGUAGUGUUAAUGCAAAAAGAUUUUAGAGAUGUUCUGGCCGACAAAAAUCCAUUCUUCCUAGUUUUAAUUGAUUUUCUGUAUUUCAGCUCAAAAGUUCAACCAAAAUUACUUAUGUGACAAAAUAAAUGGUCAAACCGCUUCCAAAUCACUAUGUGCACGCAGAAGAAUCUACGAAAAAUUAACAGUUACACGUAUACAGUCAGCAUUAAUGCAAGGUUUGUCAUCGUUUUUGUGAAGUUACAGCUUCGAAUUUCCGAGCAAAUGGAAGCUGCUUUCGAUGAAGAAUUAAAGUUCGAUUUCCUUUCCAGCAAGCAUCACAAGGAAACCGUACUCGGAAAGUAUUAGCUACCAGACGUUGAAGAAUAUCAAAUCGGGGUUAAGAUCCUACACAUCGACAAGAUCCAGCGGAACAUUGGAUAGAUACAAAGUGGUGUAUUCGACAAUUGAACUUGAUGAAAUUCGACACUGAUCAGCUUAAACAUUUACCAUGUUAACAAAAUGUACUUAAUCGGACUAGUUUCUAGUGUUUACGAUCUUACCUCCGAACGUUAUUGACCCGAAAGACGGAGGUUGUGGAUCUUCUCUUCAGCUACUCAAUAACACUGGUUAAAGCAGAAGAAAAAACCUUUUGGCUUGUCUUCCAUAUCUCCUAAUUUGGGCGUCUCCCCUGAGCCUUCGCGUGCUGCCAUCAAGGCGCUUGUACCAGGAGACUCUGGUGGCAAGACGGUGUUCUCAGUGAACAUCCGUGAUGGAAUGGCAGGUUCGGGAGGAGAUAUGGUGUAAAGAAAAUCGAGUAGCAUUUGAAUUAUUUGGCUGAAAUUAGGCCGAGCAUUCGGGUCCUCCUGCCAGCAUGAAGUUAGGAUGAUGUUCAACUCCUCAGGGAUGUUCUCAGAACUAGGCCUCACAUUCUGAAAUGUUAAGUAUCCAUUAAAUCAUCAGUAAAACUUAGCAGCACCAUAAGCCAUUUGCAGAAUUAAUGGUUGGGAUCGGAAAUAAUGUAUCGAUGAGGAAGAUAUGUUUACUUUAAAUGCAGCUGCAUAUGCUGCCUGGAGAUUUGACAUGCCUUCGAAAGGCAAUUUGUUGUGUAAGAGUUCCCACAAAACAAUUGCGAAGCUAUAUGCGUCCACUUUGUGGUUGUAAUGCUUUCCCUCUCCUUGCCUUAAUGUAACAGUACUGUACAACUGCCAAAAAAUAGGAAAUAUCAACUCAAUAAAGAGGUAUUUUUAAGCGUCAACGGUUCAUAAGAGUGUGGGGGAAGAAGGGUAGUACCUCCGGAGCCAUCCAACGGUAUGUCCCCGUUUCUGCAGUCAUCAUCUCUGUUAAUGACUCUUCUCUUGCCAACCCAAAAUCCGCUAAUUUAACUGUUUUGUGGUCUGCAGUCAAGAGCAAGUUCUCUGCACCCAAAAGUUAAAAAAAAGAUCAAAUAAGUAAGAAUAUGAGCUAAAAGACAAGUAAUUUUUCAAAACCCAACAAAUAAUUCACCCAUCCACAUCAAUGUAUUGAAUCAUACAAUGCAGAUCCGUUGUUAGAUACGUAAAAACAAGGGAAAUCCACGAGUAGAAGUUUUUAUUAAAAAAUGGAACUGGAGAGGACUAAACCGACUAUAAGCGGUGUAUAACCCUCAGUUUGGAGCCCCUCGGGUUCUGUUUUUGAAUAAAAUCUUCUACUCCUUCUUGAAGCGCCAUCUUACUAAAAUUAGUCUGAAGUCGAAUUUGGGAACUUAAACGUAUGACUAUCUACUCUUUUUAAUAUAACAGUACAGUUCAGAAUAAUAAUUCCAGCCUGACGGUAUGGCAGUGAUGAAAUCUAUCAUCGUAAUGCAAACACGGAAAAUAUUUAUUAAAAAUUUAAUACCAAAAGAAAGUUGUGUGAAUGAGAGUUAUUGCAGCCAAAAAAGUCAGAAAAUAUUGACUACAGAAAAAAAUACGACAAUCCAGUUCUGAAACAGUCUAUGAAUUUAAACCGUCUUAAACUUAAACUUAUAGAAUUCAAAGCAGUUGAAAUGGGAUAGGAAAAGUUACCAGGCUUCAAAUCACGGUGUAUGAUCCCAUGAGAGUGCAAGCACUCCAUCGCACGAGCAAUAUCCAAUGCGAAACCAACAGCAACGCGUAUGUCCAAGCACCUCGGCCGCAUGUUUAGACAAUAUUUGCGCAAUGUACCUCCCAACAAAAGCUCAGUAACUAUCACCAUCACUGGCUCCUUGCAGGCACCAAUAAACUGUUGAGAGGCAGGGUACCUUCAUUAAUUAUCAGAUGUCGACACAUAACAAUUUGAUGUUCAUGACUACACAAUGUAACUAUCGUCACCCGUUACCACAAUGACUUAUCACCGAAAUGGCGGCAAUUAAAUCGAACCUUCACUAAAUUUUUAUGUUGAACUCUCGACAACAUGGCAACCUCUCUGGCAAACCGUCCUUCUUUCUUGAUAAUCUCCUCUGGAGUUUCUCCUCUAUGAACAACUUUGAUUGCAACAGUCUGGUUUUUGUAUCUGAUUGGAAUCCAAAAGGCCGAAAUCAAAAGGAGUGAGAUAACUGCAGCAUAACAGAACUCAAAAUUGAACCAUAAUUACUUGCAAGCUGCCAAUCUAAUCGCUUAAGAAACUCAUUUUUCGCCCUCAAACCAAAUUCAUCAGUUAUCUUCUACCGAACUACAAUUCACCGAAAACCUAACCAUUUUCGGGAUCCUACCAAAAUUUGAAUCUAACCACUAAACCAGAUUAAAUUUUCAGCAAAACCCAAAAUGCAGUUCAGAAUGCAAAGCAACAACAACAACAACAAAGCCUUUUCCCACUAAGUGGGGUCGGCUAUAUGAAUCCUAGAACGCCAUUGCGCUCGGUUUUGUGUCAUGUCCUCCGUUAGAUCCAAGUACUCUAAGCCUUUUCUUAGAGUCUCUUCCAAAGUUUUCCUAGGACUUCCUCUACCCCUUCGGCCCUGAACCUCUGUCCCGUAGUCACAUCUUCGAACCGGAGCGUCAGUCGGCCUUCUUUGCACAUGUCCAAAUCACCGGAACCGAUUCUCUCAUCUUUCCUUCAAUUUCGGCUACUCCUACUUUACCUCGGAUAUCCUCAUUCUCAAUCUUAUCCUUUCUCGUGUGCCCACACAUCCCACGAAGCAUCCUCAUCUCUGCUACACCCAUUUUGUGUACGUGUUGAUGUUUCACCGCCCGACAUUCUGUGCCAUACAACAUCGCUGGCCUUAUUGCCGUCUUAUAAAAUUUUCCCUUGAGCUUCAGUGGCCUACGACGGUCACACAAACAUGCUGGAUGCACUCUUACACUUCAUCCAUCAAGCUCGUAUUCUAUGGUUGAGAUCUCCAUCUAAUUCUCCGUUCUCUUGUAAGAUAGAUCCUAGGUAGCGAAAACGGUCGCUUUUUUGUGAUCUUCGCUAAAUUGCUCCGGUCAUUAGUGUGGAUAAGUAUAUAAAUGGAUAGAGAUAGGAAAGCAAACACAAGAUGUACGUGGUUCACCCAGAUUGGCUACGUCCACGGAAUAGAAGAGUUCUCAUUAAUUGUGAAGGGUUUACACAAGUACAUAGGUUCAAGCUCUCCUUUAGUGAGUACAAGUGAAUGAUUUAGUACAAAUGACAUUAGAGUACAAAUGACAUUAGGAAAUAUUGUGGGAGAAUGAUCUCGUAAUCACGAAACUUCUAAGUAUCGGAGUGUGGUAUCGACUUGCCUUAUCUGUCUCAUAGGUAGAUGUGGCAGCUUCUCUGGAAGUACUCUUCCUCCAUCCAGGGGUGGUAUCUUUAACUGGUGGAGAUGCACAAGGUAAUGUAUCAAUUUCACUUGAAGCUUACUUGUAGUUUCAGGCUUGGUCAAGCGCGAUACAAACCAUGUAGUAGGAGUCCCCCAAGUCGCCGAGCUAGGGGAUUUUGCUGAAAGAGGUGACAGACAAGGUAAGCAAUCAGAGCUCCGGCUGAUUGUUCACCUUCUCCCCAUCUUGCAGCAGCAUGAAGGAUAAAGAGAAGAAAAAAUGAGAAGAGAUGAUAUGGGAUACUUUUGCUUUUGAAGAAGAAGUAACUUUCCACAGGCUUAUUCUUGAACUGAGCUGGAGGGUUUUCUGGUUUCCUCCAGAGUAUAAGGCCGACUGAAGAAUUUGAGGGUCAAAACAAGUCCAUCAAAUCUAGAGUACGUUCGACCCUGCUGAUAUGGGAUACUUUUGCUUUUGACAGAGUAAUGGAUGGAUCGGCACGUGUGCUGUUACGCUUGUCUCCACAUGCUUCCUUGUAUCCUUCGCACUUGCCCUAUCUGUUCCUCAAGCAGAUACGGUAUCUUCCCUGGCAACAUAAGAUGUUGAAGAUGAGUACUCGAGAGCAAUGCCAGGUAAGUAAUCAGGUAAGGGGUUCCAGGCUGUCAGUUCCUGGCUGGGAGCUUGAUUUCAAGUGCUGACUGAUUGCUCUCUUUCUCCUUGUCUUGCAGGUAAAAAACAAGGCCAAAGGAAAAGACAGGGAAAAAAGCAUGAUAUGGGAUACUCUUGCUUUUAACCCUGAUGAUAUGAGAUAUUCUUGCUCUAGUAUAGCUUGUUUGCAGAGGUAUUAUCGGGGGGAAAGAAAGCUGAAUAUUUUCGAAAGGCUUCGUUGGGAGUGCCCUCUCAGAUAUGAGGAAGGGUUGAGCAUUUUUGCAGGUCUGCCUGUCCGUUGGGGAUGGAGGUCGACAUAUAUAGGAGUCUCCCUAACAACAAGUAGUAAUGCUAUUCCUUUACCCUGCUUGGUCAUAGCACGGUAGUGGGAGCUGCCAGCUUCACAUGUUUUAACUCUGUCAGAGCACUUUGAAAAAGUGGUAUGUGGUAUCUGGCUCUCGAGAUUCGGAGAACGAUGCUUCUUCGAUUUUUGAGAAAGCAAUCAUGUGGGGGUCUGGCUCUCGAGAUUCGGGGAGCAGUGUCUCUUCGAUUUUUGAGAAAGUAAUCAUGUUGGGAGUCUGGCUCUCGAGAUUCGGAAGGCGGUGCCUCUUCGAUUUUGGAGUAAGCAAUCUUGUUGGGAGUGUGUUUUCUCGGAUGUGAGUAAAGGUUGGGCAUGUUUGCUAGUCUACCUUGCCACGAAGCACGGAGGUUGACACACAGGGACUUUCCAAUUAUCCAGCAGUGGUACUGUUCCUUUACCCUUGUGGGUAAUAAUAUGGUAGCUAGACCUUCAAAAUUUAUGUGUGUCUAAACUUUGUUAGUGCUGUUUCUUUGCUAUUCUUUUACCUUUCUUGGUCAGAGCGAUGUAGUGGGAGCUGCAAGCUUCACGUGCUCAACUUUGGCAGAGACUUUGACAAAGUUAUCUGUGGUACCCAUGAGCUAUUGUUGCGUGUGGGAAGUGGGUGAUUGAACAGUAAGAUUCAUGUGCUUUCUACUUCACCAGAAGUCUUCGACAGAAUGCCCAUAAUUUCCGCAAAGCUGAGUGUGCGUGUGACAGGUGCUGACAAGGCUAGAAAAGAAGGUGCCUCUUUGAUUUCUGAGAUCGGCCCUCGUGGUCUCUGAGCAGCCCAGCUUUUGAGAAAGCGAGCGCCUCUUCGAUUGAUUCGGAGAACGAUGCCUCUUCGAUUUUUGAGAAAGCAAUCAUGCUGGGGGUCUGGCUCUCGAGAUUCGGGGAGCAGUGUCUCUUCGAUUUUUGAAAAAGUAAUCAUGUUGGGAGUCUGGCUCUCGAGAUUCGGAGGGUGGUGCCUCUUCGAUUUUGGAGCAAGCAAUCUUGUUGGGAGUGUUUUCUCAAAUGUGAGUAAAGGUUGGGCAUGUUUGCUAGUCUACCUUGCCACGAAGCACAGAGGUUGACACACAAGGACUUUCCAAUUAUCCAGCAAUGGUACUGUUCCUUUACCCUCUCUUCGAUUUUUGAGAAAGUAGUCAUGUUGGGAGUCUGGCUCUCGAGAUUCGGAGGACGGUGCCUCUUCGAUUUUGGAGCAAGCAAUCUUAUUGGGAGUGUUUUCUCGAAUGUGAGUAAAGGUUGGGCAUGUUUGCUAGUCUACCUUGCCACGAGGCACAGAGGUUGACACACAGGGACUUUCCAAUUAUCCAACAGUGGUACUGUUCCUUUUACCCUUGUGGGUAAUAAUAUGGUAGCUAGACCUUCAAAAUUUUAUGGGUCUAAACUUUGUUAGUGCUGUUUCUUUGCUAUUCUUUUACCCUUCUUGGUCAGAGCGAUGUAGUGGGAGCUGCAAGCUUCACGUGCUCAACUUUGGCAGAGAACUUUGGCAAAGUUAUCUGUGGUACCCAUGAGCUAUUGCUGCGUGUGGGAAGUGGGUGAUUGGACAGUAAGAUUCAUGUGUUUUCUACUUCCCCAGAAGUCUUCGACAGAAUACCCAUAAUUUCCGCAAAGCUGAGUGUACGUGUGACAGGUGCUGACAAGGCUGGAAAAGUAGGUGCCUCUUCGAUUUCUGAGAUCGGCCCUCGUGGUCUCUGAGGAGCCCAGCUUUUUGAGGAAGCGAGCGCCUCUUCGAUUUCUGAGAUCGGCUUUCGUGGUCUUUGAGCAGCCCAACUUUUGAGAAAGCAAACACCUCUUCGAUUUAUGAGAUCAACCCUCGUGGUCUCUAAGCAGCCCAGCUUUUGAGAAAGCAAACGCCUCUUCGAUUUUCUGAGCAGGCGCCUCUUCGAUGUCUGAAGCUCCGUCGAGUGCAGCUUUUUAUAGGGGCUGGCAUUAAGUUCCAAAGCACACUUGAAUCUCCACCAGUAGAAGCUCCAUUCUUGCACUUCUAAGAUCUUGAUUUGUCCGACCUCUUCUCUCUUCAAUACCUUUGAAAAUGUCUGGCCCCUCCGACCGUCGUUUUGACUUGAACCUUGUUGAAGAGGCAGCCCCGCCUUCUCCAGACAACAUAUGGCGCCCAUCCUUCGUCUCCCCUACUGGUCCUCUUACCGUUGGGGAUUCCGUGAUGAAGAAUGAUAUGACCGCUGCGGUAGUGGCCAGGAACCUUCUCACUCCCAAAGAUAACAGACUACUUUCCAAACGGUCUGAUGAGUUGGCUGUUAAGGAUUCUCUGGCUCUCAGUGUUCAGUGUGCAGGUUCUGUGUCUAAUAUGGCCCAACGCCUAUUUGCUCGAACCCGCCAAGUUGAGUCAUUGGCGGCCGAAGUGAUGAGUCUCAAACAGGAGAUUAGAGGGCUCAAGCAUGAGAAUAAACAGUUGCACCGACUCGCACAUGACUAUGCUACAAACAUGAAGAGGAAGCUUGACCAGAUGAAGGAAACUGAUGGUCAGGUUUUACUUGAUCAUCAGAGAUUUGUGGGUUUGUUCCAAAGGCAUUUAUUGCCUUCGUCUUCUGGGGCUGUACCGCGUAAUGAAGCUCCAAAUGAUCAACCUCUGAUGCCUCCUCCUUCUAGGGUUCUGUCCAGUACUGAGGCUCCGAAUGAUCCCCUCCGAUGCCUUCUCUUUCUAGGGCUCUACCAACUGCUGAGACUUCUCCUAAGCAACCUUUGUGAAGGCUCCAUCUUGUUUUGUUUAUUUUGACUCAUGUAUAUGUACAUAUUUGUAGCUUAUCGGGGAUAUCAAUAAAUAAGUUUUCCUUCAUUUCAACGUAUUGUGUUAAAUACACCAAAGCCUUCUUCGCUAAGUUCUUUGAAUUUUCUUUUGUUGAAGCUUGUAUGUUGAAGCUUUCUGAGUGGAGCAUGUAGGUUGGGGUAGUGUUCCCUUAAAUUUUUCGAGUGAGGAAAACUUCUCGGUUGGAGACUUGGAAAAUCCAAGUCACUGAGUGGGAUCGGCUAUAUGAAUCUUAGAACGCCAUUGUGCUCGGUCCUGUGUCAUGUCCUUCGUUAGAUCCAAGUACUCUAAGUCUUUUCUUAGAGUCUCUUCCAAAGUUUUCCUAGGUCUUCCUCUACCCCUUCGGCCCUGAACCUCUGUCCCAUAGUCGCAUCUUCUAAUCGGAGCGUCAGUAGGCCUUCUUUGCACAUGUCCAAACCACCGUAACCGAUUUUCUCUCAUCUUUCCUUCAAUUUCGGCUACUCCUACUUUACCCCGGAUAUCCUCAUUCCUAAUCUUAUCCUUUCUCGUGUGCCCACACAUCCAACGAAGCAUCCUCAUCUCCGCUACACCCAUUUUGUGUACGUGUUGAUGCUUCACCGCCCAACAUUCUGUGCCAUACAGCAUCGCCGGCCUUAUUGCCGUCCUAUAGAAUUUUCCUUUGAGCUUCAGUGGCAUACGGCGGUCACACAACACGCCAGAUGCACUCUUCCACUUCAUCCAUCGAGCUUGUAUUCUAUGGUUGAGAUCUCCAUCUAAUUUCUCCGUUCUUUUGCAAGAUAGAUCCUAGGUAACGAAAACGGUCGCUCUUUGGUAUUUCUUGAUCUCCGAUCCUCACCCCUAACUCGUUUUGGCCUCCAUCUGCACUGAACUUGCACUCCAUAUAUUCUGUCUUUGAUCGGCUUAGGCGAAGACCUUUAGAUUCCAACACUUCUCUCCAAAGGUUAAGCUUUGCAUUUACCCCUUCCUGAGUUUCAUCUAUCAACACUAUAUCGUCUGCGAAAAGCAUACACCAAGGAAUAUCAUCUUGAAUAUGUCCUGUUAACUCAUCCAUUACCAACGCAAAAAGGUAAGGACUUAAGGAUGAGCCUUGAUGUAAUCCUACAGUUAUGGGAAAGCUUUCGGGUUUGUCCUUCAUGAGUUCUUACGGCAGUCUUUGCUCCUUCAUACAUAUCCUUUAUAGCUUGGAUAUAUGCUACUCGUACUCCUUUCUUCUCUAAAAUCCUCCAAAGAAUGUCUCUUGGGACCCUAUCAUACGCUUUUUCCAAAUCUAUAAAGACCAUGUGUAAAUCCUUUUUCCCAUCUCUAUAUCUUUCCAUCAAUCUUCGUAAGAGAUAGAUUGCCUCCAUGGUUGAGCGCCCUGGCAUGAACCCGAAUUGGUUGUCCGAAACCCGUGUCUCUUGCCUCAAUCUAUGCUCAAUGACUCUCUCUCCCAGAGCUUCAUUGUAUGACUCAUUAACUUAAUACCCCUAUAGUUCAUGCAAUUUUGUACGUCGCCCUUAUUCUUGUAGAUAGGCACCAAAGUGCUCGUUCGCCACUCAUUUGGCAUCUUCUUCGUUUUCAAAAUCCUAUUGAAAAGGUCAGUGAGCCAUGUUAUACCUGUCUCUCCCCAAAACUUUCCACACUUCGAUUGGUAUAUCGUCUGGGCCUAUUGCUUUUCUAUGCUUCAUCUUCUUCAAAGCUACAACCACUUCUUCCUUCCGGAUUCGACGAUAAAAAGAGUAGUUUCUACACUCUUCUGAGUUACUCAACUCCCCUAAAGAAGCACUCCUUUCAUGUCCUUCAUUGAAAAGAUUAUGAAAAUAACCUCUCCAUCUGUCUUUAACCGCGUUCUCUGUAGCAAGAACCUUUCCAUCCUCAUCCUUGAUGCACCUCACUUGGUUUAGGUCCCUUGUCUUCUUUUCCCUUACUCUAGCUAGUUUAUAGAUAUCCAACUCUCCUUCUUUGGUAUCUAGUCGUUUAUACAUAUCGUCGUAAGCCGCUAACUUAGCUUCUCUGACCGCUUUCUUCGCCUCUUGCUUCGCUUUUCUAUACCUUUCACCAUUUUCAUCGGUCCUCUCCUUGUAUAAGGCUUUACAACAUUCCUUCUUAGCCUUCACCUUUGUUUGUACCUCCUCAUUCCACCACCAAGAUUCCUUUUGGUGUGGGGCAAAGCCCUUGGACUCUCCUAAUACCUCUUUUGCUACUUUUCGGAUACAACUAGCCAUGGAAUCCCACAUUUGGCUAGCUUCCCCCUCUCUAUCCCACACACAUUGGGUGAUUACCUUCUCUUUGAAAAUGGCUUGUUUUUCUUCUUUUAGAUUCCACCAUCUAGUCCUUGGGCACUUCCAAGUCUUGUUCUUUUGUCUCCCUCUUUUGAUAUGUACAUCCAUCACCAACAAGCGAUGUUGAUUAGCCACGCUCUCUCCUGGUAUAACUUUUGCAAUCCUUACAAGUUAUACGAUCCCCUUUCCUCAUUAGAAGAAAAUCUAUUUGUGUUUUUUGACGACCCACUCUUGUAGGUGAUCACAUGUUCUUCUCUCUUCUUAAAGAAGGUGUUGGCUAAGAAGAGAUCAUAUGCCAUUGCAAAAUCCAAGAUAGCUUCCCCAUCCUCGUUUCUCUCCCCAAAACCAUGGCCACCAUGAAAACCUCCAUAGUUGCCUGUCUCCCUGCCCACGUGUCCAUUUAGAUCUCCUCCUAUAAAUAACUUCUCCGUCUGAGCAAUUCCUUGCACCAAGUCUCCAAGGUCUUCCCAAAAUUUCUCCUUCGAACUCGUAUCCAACCCUACUUGAGGUGCGUACGCACUAAUCACAUUGAUAAGUUCUUGUCCUAUUACAAUCUUGAUUGCCAUGAUUCUAUCUCCUACCCUCUUGACAUCUACAACAUCUUGUGUCAAGGUCUUGUCCACGAUGAUGCCAACACCGUUUCUCGUUCUAUUUGUGCCCGAAUACCAAAGUUUAAACCCUGAGUUUUCUAGAUCCUUUGCCUUACUACCAACCCACUUAGUUUCUUGUAGGCACAUAAUAUUUAUCCUUCUCCUCACCAUAACUUCCACUACUUUCCAUAGAUUUUCCCGUUAAGGUUCCUAUAUUCCACGUUCCUAAACGCAUUUUGCUCUCUUGAACUCUACCCUUCUGUCCUAGCUUCUUCACCCUCCCCCGUCUAAUAGGAUCAAAGUACUUCUUUUGUGUGUCCCGUGUAAAGUUGAUAGGAGCAUAUGCUCCCAAACAACUUUGAGUGGAGUCGUUCGAAAAGAAGUUUCUACGGCCCCCUUGCUCAUUUAACACUGCAUCCGGGUGCCGAUGGAGAUACAGCGACCCUUGCUCACUUAUCACUGUGCUCGGGCCACACAGCGCGCCACUUACGGGUGACGCCCUAGCUUUAGCGCGAUUUUGUUCUGGAUUCAUUUUCAUAAGGAUUCGACGUGAUCAUGGAGUGCCGGCUGUCGACUACCUGACGCCCUCCCCCUCCUCCUUUAUCCGGGCUUGGGACCGGCAAUGUAAAAUUACAUAGGCAGAGUUAGAAUGCAAAGCAAGAAAGGAUAAAAUGUAUUGCUAAUCGCCACAAGAACGCAAUCGUAGUUUAUCUAAUCCAAACAAGAUGAACCGCAGAAACAUCAUUAGCCACAAAUCUAAACAACAUUACUCUCAAAUGAAACGAAAAUGCGAACCGCAGAAACGUCAUUAGCCACAAAUCAAGACACAAGGUUUCCACUUAUGCAGACCAAACUAUUCAUGGGUACAAAUCGAAAACUCAAAAAAUUGAAAGCAAAGCGAAGCUGUACAACUUACUUGCCCUCAUAGACUUUGGCAUGAGCUCCCUCACCAAUUCUUGGCCCAACAAACAGAUGCUUGGGAUCAAUCAGCCAUUUGGCAUCCAAUCUGAACUCAUCAGCUGAGUAAAACCUACUCCCAGAUUCCAUCUUUCUACACAACCAAACAAUCCAGCAUCAAAACCCAAAAUCCAUAUAACAUAAUAUCAGAAACCCAAAAGCCAAAAAGCACUUGUUGAGAAGCUAACUCAUUCAUUGAUUCUCUGUGAGUGGAUAAGCUGACACAAAAGAGAUAAGCAGCAUCCCAAAGCUCAAAAAACUCACAGGAAGGAGGAGAUGGUACUUACAUGUCCUUGGAGAAGGCAAAAGCAUGGAACCCCACAUGUUCUAACAGAGAGCAGACUCUGACAGCAAAAGCCCCAAAACAAAAGCUCAAUGCCCAAAGUGCUUUUUUUUUUGCUUGGCAAGUUUUUAUGGGGAAAUGAGAAGAAAAAAUCCCUCAGAAAGGCAAGACCAUAAGGUCCAGAAGCAGAUUAGCAAAAGCACCUCCCCAAGUGAAAACUAGAGUACUGCAUACGUAUGCUAGUUUGAUUAAAACUCCAUAGUCCCCAUCAUUGAGGGUAAUUAAAUGGGGUGCGAUGAGAUUUGUGGGAUUAAUUAACCUCUGAUGGAAACAGUGGUUUCAGUCUUGAUCUGCAGCUGGAGUCAUGGGAAGGGAGAGAGCCUAAAGAUCAAGUUUUUAAGAAUUUGGUGUGUGUGUGUGUGUGUGUGUGUGAGGAGAGAGAUGAGAGAGAAGGGAGUGUUGAAUAUAUUGUAGUUAAGUGGGUGGGAGUCAUAAACUAAUCUAGAGCACAUGGAAACUGAUCUUGUCAACAUGGAGGGUAAACUGGUAAAGCUACUCAAACAACAUGAGUACUUUCUAGUUCCUUCCUAUCUUUUACUUGUACUUCACUUCAAUCAUAGCUAAUCAUUUAAUUUCUGGUUUUAACAGUCUCCACUUCAAACUGAACGACCGAAUAUUUUACGACUUUUACUUAAAAAAUAAGUGUUAUAUACGUACUUCUAGAUAAGUAAUAAAGAUCGAUUCGUUAUAUGUAAGGAGUCGAACAACAUUACUUGAAAGAAAAAGAUGUGGCAAGAAAUGCAAGGGUGUGGAGGCAGUUAAAAAGGCGAGAGGCAAACGGUGGGAAAGGAGAUGAGAUAUGUUGGUAAACGAGCAAUCCAUGCAGCAAAAAAUCUUAUCCUUUCCCUCCAAAUCACUUGCAACGUUCGAGUCGUGGACUAAAAAAAGGAUAUACAGGAUAAGUCGCUUCGACCGUCCAAUUUGCCGUGCAAAUUUGGCAACUCCAGUUACUCCACCUUUUUUCCAAAGGCACGAGACCGGACAAACGGGUUAUUUUUGUUGUUUAUAUGUCAUUCAUAUUAUCUUAACAAAUCUAUGUCCUGUUAAACUAGUUACUUAAACAGAUUUUUAAACUAAAUGACCCGUUAAUGAUCCAACUUGUGAAUAGGUUGUGCUAUUUCGUGUCAGAUUAAUAAGUCACGCAAAAGAAUUUUAUAAUUCACUAUCUAGACCUGCAAAUCGAUUGUGUUCGUGUUAUUUACGUAUCAUACUUGUUACCUUAACAAGUUCUUAACAAAUAGCUCAAUUAGAACCUAAUUCGUUAACGGAUGACCAACAACUACCCAACUCGUUAACAGACAGACUCGAAACUUGUUAUUUUCGUGUUAUUUCAUGCCAAAUUAACAAAUUACACAAAAAAAUUGCCGUACCUAUCUUACAUGCAACCAUAAUGCUAAAACACCUAUAUCUCAAGCGUAUCACACACCAGAGCAAUUAAUUAAGAUACUAUCAUCUUAACGUCCCAGUUGCAUAUAACAGAAGUAUAAAUAAAGUGGUGGGACAUUAAAUAACAUAGAAAUCAAUAAAGACUAAAUGGCCACAUGAAUACAUAACGUAGAAUAUAAUAUUAAAUCCAAAACUUAGAUAUCAGUACCAAUUUACUAAAACAUAAUUACAUACUAAGAAAAAGAUGCACAUGGACAUGGUCCCCAAAAGCAAGCAAAGCAUCAGAUUGCAUAUCGAAAAAUGCCAGUCCAUUAUUUCUGAGAUAAUAUAUAUAUAUAUAUAUAUAUAUAUAUAUAUAUACUAGGAAUAUAUAAUAACAUGAUUUAUUAGUAGUUGUCUUCCAUCUAAAGCUGCUCCCCGUUGAUCAGAUCCAUAACCACACGCUUGAUGCUUCCAUUGUUCUUCACCAGCAGCUUCUUGUUCAUUUCGGUAUCACAGAAACCC
rnacentral:lncRNA from 1 species